UACGAAGGGGGCGAGCGUUGUUCGGAAUUACUGGGCGUAAAGGGCGCGUAGGCGGCCGAUCAAGUCAGAUGUGAAAGUCCUGGGCUUAACCUGGGGACUGCAUUUGAUACUGAUUGGCUUGAAUGCAGGAGAGGAUAGCGGAAUUCCCAGUGUAGAGGUGAAAUUCGUAGAUAUUGGGAAGAACACCGGUGGCGAAGGCGGCUAUCUGGACUGUGAUUGACGCUGGAGGGCGCGAAAGCGUGGGGAGCAAACAGG
rnacentral:rRNA from 1 species